rnacentral:tRNA from 1 species
GGGUAGGUACCGAAACGGUUAAACGGAGCAGACUGUAAAUCUGCCGGCGAUUGCCUUUGGAGGUUCGAAUCCUCCCCUGCCCA